GACGAACGCUGGCGGCGUGCUUAACACAUGCAAGUCGAACGGAAAGGCCCUGCUUUUGUGGGGUGCUCGAGUGGCGAACGGGUGAGUAACACGUGAGUAACCUGCCCUUGACUUUGGGAUAACUUCAGGAAACUGGGGCUAAUACCGGAUAGGAGCUCCUGCUGCAUGGUGGGGGUUGGAAAGUUUCGGCGGCUGGGGAUGGACGCGCGGCUUAUCAGCUUGUUGGUGGGGUAGUGGCUUACCAAGGCUUUGACGGGUAGCCGGCCUGAGAGGGUGACCGGCCACAUUGGGACUGAGAUACGGCCCAGACUCCUACGGGAGGCAGCAGUGGGGAAUAGUGCACGAUGGGCGGAAGCCUGAUGCAGCAACGCCGCGUGCGGGAUGACGGCCUUCGGGUUGUAAACCGCUUUCGCCUGUGACGAAGCGUGAGUGACGGUAAUGGGUAAAGAAGCACCGGCUAACUACGUG
rnacentral:rRNA from 1 species